rnacentral:lncRNA from 12 species
GGGAGACAGUCCUCCUCUGGCUCUAAAGCUCUCUGAUCAGGGGAUCCCUGGAUGGCUCAGCGUCUGCCUUCAGCCCAGGGCGUGGUCCUGGAGUCCCGGGGUCGUCCCAUCCCACAUCAGGCUCCCUGCAUGGAGCCUGCUUCUGUCUCUGCCCCUGUCUCUCUCUGUAUGUUUCUCAUAAAUAAAUGAAAUUAAAAAAAAAUUAAAGCUCUCUGAUCUAGAGAGGUGCCCUGCAGGGUGGCGGGGUCUGCGCGCUGGGGGCUGUUCUGUCUCUCCUCUGGGCUCCUCCUCUGGGGCCUCCGUCAGCGAAGGGCAGCUGUGCCUGCUGACUCUCACGCCCUUCUCCCGGUUCUGUCUCCCAUCUCCUGGGCACCUCCUAAGGAAGCCUUGUGCUCCUCCCUGUGCAGCCUUGGGAACUGCCUACGUCCUUUUUCCAGCUCUGCGGGCUGGGAGCCACGUUCCCAUUUUCUUUCCAGGUACAGGACGCCUCGGUACUUUUUGAGCUUCUCGCGCUCAGGUAUCUCUUGACCACAAGGGGGCACCAGACUCCAGGUUCACGGACUGCACACCCCGGAGCUAUUUGUUCAGCCCGGGCAAGAAUUUCCAAAGCGACCUCUCCCACGGUGGGCCCGCGGGUCUGUGCGGCUCAGCGAGGUUCCAGGCAGGAAACGGGGGGCCAACUUUCCUGUCGCACAGACCUUCCCGCUGUCCUCGAGCAGCUCCCUCAGGGUGCCCCCCCUUACACGUCUGUGGGUUUGGGGGAGCAGGAGGGCACCGCAGUGUCUCCUCUCCCCGCUCCCAUUCUGCCCCAAGAGCAAGCAGCCUCCGGCCCGGGAACGCUCAGUUCCCCUCCCUCCCACUGCCGUCCCGUCGUGGCGACACAGCACGGUGGUGGUAGGCCGAAGGGGACAGUGAGCUGUGCCAGGGCCGGUUGUGCCAUUUCUCUCAGUCCUUUUCUCUGAGCGGCUGCGGCUGCCGGAUUGCCAAGUUGGAGCCCUUCUUCGGGGUGUGGGAGCCUCGGACGCUUCGGUGUCCGGCCGGGGGCUUGGGCAGCGCGGGGCCCGCGGGAAGAGCACCUGCGCGCCGUCGCCCGCACCCACGGCCGGGUCCCCUCCUUCUUUCCUCGUCUCCUCCGAACCUCUCUGGCUCUGCCCGCCCAGUUUCCAAAGGGAAAGGGCCGAGGUCUACAGCCGGUGGGACAGUUUUCCCGAAGGACGGUUCGGGCUUUUAUCCAUCUGCUGGUUUGAUAGUAAAUCAGAGUGGAGGCAUCAGCGGAGUCGAAGCUGACAUUCUCUCCCUGACUCUGCAUCGGACUGUGGUGUGCCCGGAUUGUGAUCUGGCCAAGCUCACUGGUCCACAGAAUAUGACUAGAGUGCAAGGGAGUUCAAGAACCUUUCAUGAUGUCUCCAUGUCUCCCCGGGGUCUGGAGUCUACAGUUUGGAAAUCAUUGCUGGAGUCUCUUGUAUCCUGGAUCCAGGCCCGGCUUUCUCUCAACAGUGCUGUCCAGAUGGAGAGCCACGGAAAGCUUUCAAACAGGGGAACCGUGAUGGAAAUAAUUAUUCCACGUCUAUUUCAGUGAGCCUCCUUUCAGUGUGCCUUUAUGUGUAGCUGACUCUAAUAAAGCAAAAAACUACAUUUCCCA